AUUGAACGCUGGCGGCAGGCCUAACACAUGCAGGUCGAGCGGAUGAAGGGAGCUUGCUCCUGGAUUCAGCGGCGGACGGGUGAGUAAUGCCUAGGAAUCUGCCUGGUAGUGGGGGAUAACGUCCGGAAACGGGCGCUAAUACCGCAUACGUCCUGAGGGAGAAAGUGGGGGAUCUUCGGACCUCACGCUAUCAGAUGAGCCUAGGUCGGAUUAGCUAGUUGGUGGGGUAAAGGCCUACCAAGGCGACGAUCCGUAACUGGUCUGGGAGGAUGAUCAGUCACACUGGAACUGAGACACGGUCCAGACUCCUACGGGAGGCAGCAGUGGGGAAUAUUGGACAAUGGGCGAAAGCCUGAUCCAGCCAUGCCGCGUGUGUGAAGAAGGUCUUCGGAUUGUAAAGCACUUUAAGUUGGGAGGAAGGGCAGUAAGUUAAUACCUUGCUGUUUUGACGUUACCAACAGAAUAAGCACCGGCUAACUUCGUG
rnacentral:rRNA from 1 species